UCUCCGUUGGUGAACCAGCGGAGGGAUCAUUACCGAGUUUACAACUCCCAAACCCCUGUGAACAUACCAUUUGUCGCCUCGGCGGUGCCUGCUUCGGCAGCCCGCCAGAGGACCCAAACCCUUGAUUUUAUACAGUAUCUUCUGAGUAAAUGAUUAAAUAAAUCAAAACUUUCAACAACGGAUCUCUUGGUUCUG
rnacentral:misc_RNA from 1 species